rnacentral:rRNA from 1 species
UACAGAGGUCUCAAGCGUUGUUCGGAUUCAUUGGGCGUAAAGGGUGUGUAGGUGGCGCUGUAAGUCGGGUGUGAAAUUUCGGGAGCUUAACUCCGAAACUGCAUUCGAUAACUGCGGUGCUUGAGGACUGGAGAGGAGUACUGGAAUUCAUGGUGUAGCAGUGAAAUGCGUAGAGAUCAAUGAGGAAGACCAGUGGCGAAGGCGGAU